CUGCCUUUCUCGACUUGGGAUCCCGGAUCCCCAGGUCUCAAACAAUCGUUUGUUUUUUCCUGUCGCUCUCACAGAGGUACUGUAACUGUAAAUAAGCACCGGGGAAAAAAAAAAAAAAGUUUUAAGCAAACAAAAAGCACUGACUUGCACAUUCACCAUGCUUUAAAGUCCCUAUGGAGAGAGAAAAACAAAAACAAAACAAAAACUGUACAUCCUGAAAACGUUCCUCUUUCCCAACUGGUAUGUGAAGGAAGUCCCCCAAAAAAGAGGCAAAAAUGGUAUUGUCUUAACUGAUGUAUCAAUUCUUGUCGGAUUAAAAGCUGUUACUAUUCCUGC